ACAACAUUGUGAAUUAUUAAGUAUAAAACCAGGACAUACUUUCAAGAUACAGCUGAAGCCAAAUAGUACUUUACUUUUUCCUGUGUUUACUGACAACAUAUUGUUUAUCUGAGGUCCUGUUCAGACCUGACAUCAACAUGAAUCCUGACUAAGUUGCAAGUGAACAGCCCUAAACAUGACUGUUAACCUCUGGAAUGGUGAUUAAAAAAUUGUUUUAAACUUACUAGAACUUAUUCAAAAGCCUUUUCAAAUAUAAGCAAUUUUCACACCCCUGGCAGAUUAGGGUCAAAAUGUUCCUUCUGACUGAUCGUAGGGCUGGAUGAUUUGGCUGAAAAAUGUAUCACAAUAUAAAGGUUUUCUAUUGGUCGAUAUGAAUGAUUAGCAACUCCAGGAGAAAAGUUGUUGUAUUUCAUCUAUUGCACGUCAUUUUCAGGAUGCCUAUUGGUGCCUGGAAAAACAACAACUGUACAUUUUCAAUGAAUCAAUGAAAUCUCCCUGGACAGAAAGUGAAAAGUGGACAUGUCGGAGGAAAAAAAGGACAUUUGGUCACCCUAUGUUACGCUGAAAGACUGGUCUAUAGUUAUGCUAAUUGCAUUUAGCAAUUGUCAACAACUCACUGGCAGAAGAGAGAACAUAAUCCAUAAAUAGAGCUUUGGAGCGUGACGUCACUGCUCUAAGCAGAGGGAUUUGAGCCCCAUCUUGUAUGGCCAUAAACAUAACCGAGAAAAGAACAUAACCAACUGUCUCACAGAUAUUUUGAAUUUUUGAAUAUUUUAAGUUACUUAAAAUUAUUUAGCAAUGGUACAAACUUGCUGCAUUAUUGGAUGUAAUGUCCGAUCACACGACCGAAACGGUAAAAAGAUGGAAAAAGGACUUUCGUUUCACUUUUUUCCUGCCUGUAAACAACGCGAGGAGGCUAAGCUAAUGGAGCUAAGCUAUCGGAGCUAACGAAAAGAAGACAAAUGUCCUGGGUAUCAGCGGUGAGACGUCCUGAUAUGACGUUCUCCAAAUUCACAAGAUAUCUACGAGUUUGCUCCAGACAUGUCCAUUCUGGCAAACCGACGUAUGAAAUGGAUUAGCUCAAUCCAGACUGAAUCUGGGUCACUGUGAGGUAAAUGCCACAACAUCAGACCGACAUGCGCGUCAAUUAAAGAGGCAAUACAGCAAAACCACGGUGGAUCAACAAGUUACAGAGACUGUAUUUUCAUUAUUUACCCCAGAAGAGGUAAAUAAUGAAAACACAGCAGCUGAGGCUGUAGAAGAGGAGCAAGUUGGAGAGACUGAGGAGGAAACCCCAGGAGAAGAACUCAGCAAUUCUGCACACUCUGAAGAGGAACAUGAACCAUUUGUGUUGAAAUAAAUGUGUACAGUUGGAAGUGGCUGUUUUCUCUCAUUUUAUAAUUUAAUGUGGUAAACAUUCAUGAAACCUUGGAUUCAAGCACUUCAAGUUGCAUGUAAACAGGUGAUGAAAUGAAUCACAUUUUACGUACAAAUUUGAUAUUUAAAAUAUUUCAGGUAAUAAACAUGCAUGUAAUGAAAGAUUAUGUUUUUAAAUAAACAUUUUAUGUGAUUAAAGUAAACAAUUAUAUAAUCAGACAUUUUGCAGUAAACAUUUAAUUUAACAGGCAAACCAGAUGAAAGGGCCCAUCUUUAAACAUUUAAUGUGUAAUUAAACAGUUCAGAGUAAACAAUAAAGGUAAAUAUUAUGAAAAAGAUCACACUUUAAGGAAAUAUUUGUUGUAUUUAACAUAUUUCAGGUAAGAAGUGCACAUGUAAUGAAAAUAGAUCCUGUCCUAGAAUUUUAUGUAAUUGAACAUUACAGGUAACAAAUGUGAUGAUCAUCUGAGGUAAUACAUUUUAUGAACAUUUUUA